rnacentral:rRNA from 1 species
GACGAACGCUGGCGGCGUGCCUAAUACAUGCAAGUAGAACGCUGAAGAGAGGAGCUUACUCUUCUUGGAUGAGUUGCGAACGGAUGAGUAACGCGUAGGUAACCUGCCUUGUAGCGGGGGAUAACUAUUGGAAACGAUAGCUAAUACCGCAUAACAAUGGAUGACACAUGUCAUUUAUUUGAAAGGGGCAAUUGCUCCACUACAAGAUGGACCUGCGUUGUAUUAGCUAGUAGGUGAGGUAAUGGCUCACCUAGGCGACGAUACAUAGCCGACCUGAGAGGGUGAUCGGCCACACUGGGACUGAGACACGGCCCAGACUCCUACGGGUGGCAGCAGUAGGGAAACGUCGGCAAUCGGGGCAACACAGACCGAGCAACGCCGCGUGAGUGAAGAAGGUUUUCGGGUCGUAGAGGUCUGUUGUAAGUCAAGAACGGGUGUGAGAGUGGAACGUUCACACUGUGACGGUAGCGGACCAGAAAGGGACGGCUAACUACGUG